UACGUAGGGCGCAAGCGUUGUCCGGAAUUAUUGGGCGUAAAGAGCUCGUAGGCGGUUUGUCGCGUCUGCCGUGAAAACCCGGGGCUCAACCCCGGGCCUGCAGUCGAUACGGGCAGACUAGAGUGCGGUAGGGGAGACUGGAAUUCCUGGUGUAGCGGUGAAAUGCGCAGAUAUCAGGAGGAACACCGGUGGCGAAGGCGGGUCUCUGGGCAGUAACUGACGCUGAGGAGCGAAAGCGUGGGGAGCGAACAGG
rnacentral:rRNA from 1 species